rnacentral:tRNA from 1 species
GGGCUGUAGCUCAGUGGUAGAGACCUUGCCUAGCAUGUGAGAAGCCCUGGGUUCCAUCCCAGCACCACCA